ACCACCUGUACGCUGAUGACACCCAGUUAUAUAUCUCCUCCCCGGACCUCUCCCCUGCCGUCCUGCAACAUGUCACUGCAUGCCUUUCUUCCAUAUAUAGCCUGUAUAUAUGGCUUGGCCUGUAAGUGUGGGAGGUACAUGGAACCCUACUUAAACCCAGUAAGCCCCUGCCGUCGACUAUCUCGGAAGUGAUUCUGUUUACUUCCG